rnacentral:rRNA from 1 species
GAUGAACGCUAGCUACAGGCUUAACACAUGCAAGUCGCGGGGCAGCAUGGGGGUUGCUUGCAAUCCCCGAUGGCGACCGGCGCACGGGUGAGUAACGCGUAUCCAACCUGCCCUUCACCACGGGAUAACCCGGCGAAAGUCGGACUAAUACCGUAUGUUGUCCAUUGACGGCAUCCGAUUUGGACGAAAGGUUUGGCGGUGAAGGAUGGGGAUGCGUCCGAUUAGCUGGACGGCGGGGUGACGGCCCACCGUGGCGACGAUCGGUAGGGGUUCUGAGAGGAAGGUCCCACACACUGGAACUGAGACACGGUCCAGACUCCUACGGGAGGCAGCAGUGAGGAAUAUUGGUCAAUGGGCGUAAGCCUGAACCAGCCAAGUAGCGUGCAGGAUGACGGCCCUAUGGGUUGUAAACUGCUUUUAUGCGGGGAUAAAGUGGCCCACGUGUGGGUUUUUGCAGGUACCGCAUGAAUAAGGACCGGCUAAUUCCGUG